ACCAAAGAGAAGUCCAAGAAGAAGCGCUGUCAACUCACCAGAAGGAUAUUUGAAUCCUGUGAGUAAUGGAACUAUGUAUCAACCGAGUACGCGACUAUCUAAUGUAUUUGCAACACGCUGUGGAACGCGAUAAAUCAAAACAACGUAAAUACAAACUAAUGGAGGACGCAGAAAUUAAAACGAAAAAUAUAAUUUAAUGAUAAACUUACCAAUGCAAGACUCAUGGACUCCAAGGAAUGGCAAAUACUAUAAAUAAAAAGAGAAAGCAUAAAUUAAAACAAAAAUAAUUCAUACGAUUUAGUAAUUAUAAUCACACAGCGGAGAAAAACAAACAAUCUGGGCUGUUUACUAAAAAGUUCCUUACACCAGCACAAUGGGUCAUCCUAAUGAUGAAUAUCAAAUCAACAUGGGGGCGAUGCACUUAACCGGCUUCUAUGGACUAUAUACGCGCAAACAGUAAAUAACAUUACUAUAGUCGAUUGAGAAUCGAAUAUAAUGCAAAUUUGGAAAGUAGAUGCCGGGACAAACAACAUGAGUCGCGUAAAAUACGUCUGGACCAACCAAAGACCGGCACGAAACUGGCUCCCAACUGUGCAAGCAACAACGCGACAGAUUAUGACAAGAAAGCAAUAGAUGCGCAAAGCCGGCGGCGCGUCGAUGGCACGCGACCUUGUCCGCGAAUUCAAUAGACACGUACUUAAUGCAAUAAGAACUAAACUACGAGUAAAAUGUGCUGCAUGCGACAGCGCGACCAGAAUCUUACCCGUAGCAUCUCGCACGACUAAUGCGAUAAGAAAGUUGUUUAUACACAAACGUUGAUAAUAGAUUUGUCUUCAAAACGAAUACAA